GUCGCUGAUGGUGUAGGGGUUAGGUGCACGACCACGUGCAGAGGCUACAGUCCUAGAAGCGGCUGUCCCGGGUUCGAGUCCCGGACCCGGCGACA